rnacentral:rRNA from 1 species
UGGGGAAUAUUGCACAAUGGGGGAAACCCUGAUGCAGCGACGCCGCGUGAAGGACGAAGUAUUUCGGUACGUAAACUUCUAUCAGCAGGGAAGAAAAUGACGGUACCUGACCAAGAAGCCCCGGCUAACUACGUGCCAGCAGCCGCGGUAAUACGUAGGGGGCAAGCGUUAUCCGGAUUUACUGGGUGUAAAGGGAGCGUAGACGGCGUCGCAAGUCUGAUGUGAAAGCCCGGGGCUCAACCCCGGGAGUGCAUUGGAAACUGCGGUGCUAGAGUGUCGGAGAGGCAAGUGGAAUUCCUAGUGUAGCGGUGAAAUGCGUAGAUAUUAGGAGGAACACCAGUGGCGAAGGCGGCUUGCUGGACGAUGACUGACGUUGAGGCUCGAAAGCGUGGGGAGCAAACAGG